ensembl:lncRNA
AAAAAAUGGAGAUCUUGAAUGUGCUCCGUCCAUUACACUCGACCGUGUGAGCGCGCUGCGCAAGCCCGGGGCAGACGGCCUGCUCCGCCGUUUGUUUUUACAACAAGCUUUGCAGCCUCGCGGGCUGAGAGGAUUCUGGUUAAAGGGUGUACACUGUGAAUCACAGUUUCAAAGGAAGACGGCAAAUACAAACCGCAGCCAAGCCAUUUGUAAACCUGGAUUGCUGACAGAAAUCCAGGAAGCAGCAGAAAAACAACCAAACACAAAAACACAGUGAAGAGCCUGGAUUCUAAGCUGCGUGUUAUGGGCUGAAUUGUGUUCGCCCAAAAUUUGUAUGUCGAAGCUCUAACCUCCAGGACGUCAACGUGACUGUGUUUGGAGACAGAGUCUUUACAGACGUAACUAAGUUAAAUGAGGUCUCUGGGGGGCGGAGGAGCCCUGGUCCAGUGUGAGGGGUGUCUCUUUAAGAAGAGGAAAUGAGGACACAGACACACAGAGAAGACCAUAGGGAGUGACAGGGAGGAGACGGCCGGCCGUGCAAACCGAGGAGAGAGGCCCCGGGGGAACCCAGCCCUGCCCACGCCUGGCUGUCGGACUCUGGCCGCCGGAGCAGCGAGGACAUCAGUGUCUGCUGUUGAAGCCCCGGCCGCGCUGCCCGCUCCGCCCGGCGGGGCCCGGCGCCCCACGCCACCUGCCGCCCCAGCUCCGCCGCGGGGGCCUCGCCGCGCCGCCUCCCUCCGGGCUGCCCCUUCUUCACCGAGGGCGACGCCCCCCGGGACUUGGGGUCACACUGCGCCUGCUCUAGCGUCACAGGAGCACUGUUGGCUGGAAGCCUCUGUCCCCGUGUCCCUCCUCGCCCUGGACGUGGCUCCCUGCGGCGGCCCCGCAUCUUCGCCUUCUCCGCGCGCGGGCGCCGGGCGCACCGAGGGCGCUCACGGGGCUCGUGGGUGCAGCGCGGAACGGGAACGGGACGGUGUAGCGAGCAUCACCCAAGUACAACUCUGGGAAAGUACGAGCUUGAACUGCUACAGCGAUCGUGUGGGAAGGGGGUGACCUCCCUCAGAUGUUUGACCGCCGCCGGGUCCACGCCAUCUUCACUCAGCACACGCUUGCUGAAUGCCUGUCUGCGCUGGGCACUGGGGAGAGUGAACAAGACUCUUCUGUGAGGCCCUCAUUCUUGUGAGAGGAGACAACGAACGGGAAAGUACCAGAUAGUACCAUGAGUGUGCAAUGAAAUACUUGAUGUAGGUUAUGGGAUAGACAGUAGUCGGGGCUCCUUUAGACUGAGUGCUCUGGGAUGCCCCAUCUGAGGAGCUGGCAUUGGAGCUGCACCCUGAUGACAAGAUGCAGACACAUGGAAAUCGUAAGGAAGAGCAUUCCAGAAGGAGGGAAUAGAAAGUGCAGAGGCCCAUGCAAGAACACGGGAACAGAAGGGAGGCCAGUGUGGCUCGGGUGUAGCAGGCGCCAGGGAGUUAAGUGUGGGCAGGCGGAGGGCAGGUGACGUCCCGUCAUGGUGAGCGGAUCGUGACAUAAGAUCAAAUGAGGUUUUUAUUCCAGAUGUGGUGGAAAGUCACUUAAGGGUUUUAAAAAGAGGAGCGGCACGAUCUGACUCGUAUUUUUAAAAAGAUCAUCUGGCUCCUGCAUGGAGAAUGGAUGGGGGUGGGAUGGUGAGGGCAAGGGAGAAAACAAGGAGCCCAACUAUGAGGCUGCAGGAAUCCAGGCCCCAGAAGGUAGCGCUUGCAGAGGAUCUGGUGAGAACUGGGCAGAUUCAGGGUGAGCUUUGCGAGUGGAGUCCAUAAACCGUGAGGGUGUGGGAAAGGAGGACGCAGGGUGAUUUUCAGGUUUGUGGCUUGAGCAGCUGGCUGGAUGCUGGGGCCAUUUACUGAGAACCAGCCUAGGAGAGCAAUGUUUCGGGGGUGAUGGUGGGGUGGGGUAUCUAGAGUUCUUUUUAAAUUUCAGAUGCCUUUUCUGCAUCCAAGAGGCAAUGUCUUGUGAACAGAUAGAAACAGGAGUCUGGGAAUCAGAGAAAAGGUGGGACCUGGGUAACUAUGCCCAUCCUUCUGUCUACACAUCCAUCUGUCUCUCUUUCAGUGUCAAGGUCAUGGAUGCUGUUUAAGCCAGGAGAGAUGAAGAAGAUGCCGAGGCUGACCUUUGUGGUACUCCAAAUUUUAGUGAUCUUCACAUUAGAGAUGUCCAGCCAAGGUGACAGAAAAGGAGCAGCCAGAAAGGCAGGAGAAAGAUCAAAGUAACCGAUGUCAUGGAAGCCAAGAGAAGAGAUGCUUCAGGAGGAAGGAAGAGUUGAAGUGUUACCGAAGAGCCAAGAACAUUAGCCCUGAGCUAACAUCUGCUGCCAAUCUCCCUCUUUUUGCUGAGGAAGACUGGAACUGAGCUAACAUGCGUGCCCAUCUUCCUCUACUUUAUAUGUGGGACGCCUGCUACAGCAUGGCUUGACAAGUGCCACAGUCACUGAGGAGGAGAGAAAGGGAGCCUGGAAGAUCCUGGAGGAUAAAAGUGCUUUUCCAAGAGGCAUUUGGACCAUUAAACUAUGAUGGGAUGGAUUUAGGCUCUGAGAAAAGGUUUUAGAGUAAAAAAAAAAAAAGGAAGACUUUCAGUAUUU